rnacentral:sRNA from 1 species
AGGAAACAUAUUUGGGGAAUGACUAGUGAUGGAGUGAAUGACGCACCUGCACUCAAGAAGGCCGACAUUGGUAUAGUUGUUGCUGAUGCAACUGAUGCAGCUCGGAGUGCCUCUGAUAUUCUUUCAACAAAACCUAGCCUUAGUAUUAUUAUUAGUGCAGUGUUCACAAGUCAAGCCAUCUUCCAGAAAAUGAAAAAUUAUACAAUCUUUAAUGUUCAUCUCUCAUGGAAGCUGCAGACAUUGAAGACAUUAGAAGGAACUGUGG